AUUGAACGCUGGCGGCAGGCCUAACACAUGCAAGUCGAGCGGAUGAAGGGAGCUUGCUCCUGGAUUCAGCGGCGGACGGGGGAGUAAUGCCUAGGAAUCUGCCUGGCUGUGGGGGAUAACGUCCUGAAACGGCCGCUACUACUGCAUACGUCCUGAUGGAGCAGCUGGGGGGUCUUUGGACCUCACCCUCUCUUGUGAGCCUAGGUCGGACUAGCUAGUUGGUGGGGUAAAGGCCUACCAAGGCGACGAUCCGUAACUGGUCUGAGAGGAUGAUCAGUCACACUGGAACUGAGACACGGUCCAGACUACUACGGGAGGCAGCAGUGGGGAAUAUUGGACAAUGGGCGAAAGCCUGAUCCAGCCAUGCCGCGUGUGUGAAGAAGGUCUUCGGAUUGUAAAGCACUUUAAGUUGGGAGGAAGGGCAGUAAGUUAAUACCUUGCUGUUUUGACGGUACCAACAGAAUAAGCACCGGCUAACUUCGUG
rnacentral:rRNA from 1 species